CAGGAAAUAGUUUAUUUAAAAAUAUUAAUUUUGGAGAUUAAUGAAAAGUUAUUUUGAUUUUUUCCUGA
rnacentral:tRNA from 1 species